rnacentral:misc_RNA from 1 species
GAUGAAGAACGUAGCGAAAUGCGAUACUUGGUGUGAAUUGCAGAAUCCCGUGAACCAUCGAGUCUUUGAACGCAAGUUGCGCCCGAAGCCAUUAGGCCGAGGGCACGCCUGCCUGGGCGUCACACGUCGUUGCCCCCCCCAUCUACUCCUUCGGGAUUGCGGGGGGCGGAUGAUGGCCUCCCGUGCGCCUAGUCGCGCGGUUGGAAUAAAAGCCAAGUCCUCGGCGACGCACGCCACGACAAUCGGUGGUUGCGAAACCUCGGUUGCCCGUCGUGUGCGGUCGUCGCGCAUCGAGGGCUCGAAAAAAUUGCCGGGCUCCGGCUCGGCUUUCAACGCGACCCCAGGUCAGGCGGGGUUACCCGCUGAAUUUAAGCAUAUCAAUAAGCGGAGGA